AUGGCAAAGGCGAGGGCCACGCCGAAGGUAGCUCGCCGGCGAGCCAGCGCCGUGAGGCCCCUGCCGAGCGGGCCCCAUCGCUUCCUCCGCCUGGUCGCCACCAUCCGAAAAAUCACCCGCCGCCGCCGCCGCCACAGGGGCCUUACCGCAGUCUCCCCGUCCUCGCCGCCACCGGUCCCGGUCUCCAAGAGGCGGCAAUGCGCGACCCGGCCUCCAGCCCCGUCUCCGCCGCCGCCCCGCGAGGCCGAGACGCCGCAGGAGCCGAAGCGCCCGGAGGAGGAGGAGGCGCAUGCCGCUGAUGCCGCCGCGGUGGCCGUUGCGGGCAAGUACUGGGCCCACCGGCACAGCCUCUUCUCCCUGUACGACCGCGGCGUGCGGAUGGACGCCGAGGGCUGGUACUCCGCCACCCCGGAGGCCAUCGCCGCCGCGCAGGCCGCCCGCGCCGCGCCCGCCGGCCUCGUCCUCGACGCCUUCGCCGGGGUCGGCGGCAACUCCAUCCAGUUCGCCGCUAGGGGCUGCUACGUGGUGGCGGUGGAGAUCGAUCCCCGGAAGGUGGAGCUGGCGAGGCACAAUGCCAGGAUCUAUGGCGUGGAGGACAUGAUCGAGUUCGUCGUCGGCGAUUUCUUCCUGCUCGCGCCUUACCUGAAGGCAGAUUUGGUGUUCCUUUCACCACCAUGGGGAGGGCCAGCAUAUAAUCAAACACCAGUGUACACCCUCGAUAUGCUGAAGCCAAAGGACGGGCAUGCAGUAUUUCAAGCUGCUCAGAAAAUAGCUCCUAAUAUCAUCAUGUUCUUGCCACGGAAUGUGGACAUAAGCCAAGUAGAGGAACUUUCGUGGUUGUCUUCUCCUCCCCUAGAUUUUGAGAGUGAAGAGAGCUACGUACAGCACAGAUUCAAAGGAAUUACCGCUUACUUUGGAGAUGUGGCACGAUGA
rnacentral:rRNA from 1 species